GGGGUUAUCGCCUCUACUUCGUACAGGCUGUUUUUUUGCUGGCCCUCCUCUCAGAGGGCAUGUGCACGCUUGUCAUUUUUUGUUUCUCCAACUGUGUGCACACAUUGUAGACCUGCCCCCCUGGUGUAGAGUCUCGUAUGGGAUUUGAUUGAGGAUUGCUUAUGCUUUCCUUGCAGGUGGUCUAUAUUCUUCACUACCUUUUUAUGUUUUGAAUGGGAUAAUAAAGUUUAUACAACUUUCAGCAACGGAUCUCUUGGCUCUCGCAUCGAUGAAGAACGCAGCGAAAUGCGAUAAGUAAUGUGAAUUGCAGAAUUCAGUGAAUCAUCGAAUCUUUGAACGCAUCUUGCGCUCCUUGGUAUUCUGAGGAGCAUGCCUGUUUGAGUGUCAUUAAAACUUCUCAAAACCAUAUUAUAUAUAUGAUGUGGCUUUUGGAUGAUGGGGGUUUAUUUUUUGCGGGCUUGAAAAAGUCGGCUCCCCUGAAAUGUAUUAGUGGUAUCUGAGGGGCUACUUUGGGCAUGAUAAAUUUGUCUAUGUCUUUUUAAUAUAGUCCCAAUAUGAACGGCUUAAAAUUUACACAUGCUGUUGUUGACUUGACCUCAAAUCAGGUAGGACUACCCGCUGAACUUAAGCAUAUCAAA
rnacentral:rRNA from 1 species